rnacentral:rRNA from 1 species
AAUUAUAAAUUAAUUUUUUCUGAAUAACUAAAUUCACUAUAUUUUCUCAAAAAAUGAAAUUUCAAAAAAAAAUAAUCUUAAAAAUUUUUCUAAAAAUAGACCUAAACCAGGAUUAGAUACCCUGUUAUACUACAUUAUAAAUAAUAAUUCAAAGAAUUCAAACAAAAUAAAUUUGACGGUAUUAACUUUUACAAAGGAAUUUGUUUCUUAAUCGACAACCCACGAUUUAUCUUACUUAAUAAUUAUCUGUAUACCACCGUUCUUGGAAUUAUUAAAAAUUAAUCCCAAAAAAGAAUUUAACCUAAUAAAUCAGGUCAAGGUGCAAUUUUAUUAAGCUGAAAUGAAUUACAUUAUUCAUAUUUACUUAUAAUAAGUGAAACCUUAUUAAAAAUAGAAUUUGUCAGUAAAAUCUUAUCACAAUGAUUUUUUGAAAACAACCAUUAAUAUG